UACGGAGGGUGCAAGCGUUAUCCGGAUUUACUGGGUUUAAAGGGUGUGUAGGCGGGCUUUUAAGUCAGUGGUGAAAUCUCCGGGCUCAACCUGGAAACUGCCAUUGAUACUAUUAGUCUUGAAUUCUGUUGAGGUGGGCGGAAUAAGUCAUGUAGCGGUGAAAUGCAUAGAUAUUGGGAGGAACACCAGUGGCGAAGGCGGCUCACUGGACCGGUACUGACGCUGAUGCGCGAAAGCGUGGGGAGCAAACGGG
rnacentral:rRNA from 1 species